rnacentral:rRNA from 1 species
GGGCCUACGGGACGCAGCAGUGGGGAAUAUUGCACAAUGGGGGAAACCCUGAUGCAGCAACGCCGCGUGAGUGAAGAAGUAUUUCGGUAUGUAAAGCUCUAUCAGCAGGGAAGAAAAUGACGGUACCUGAGUAAGAAGCCCCGGCUAACUACGUGCCAGCAGCCGCGGUAAUACGUAGGGAGCAAGCGUUAUCCGGAUUUAUUGGGUGUAAAGGGUGCGUAGACGGGAUUACAAGUUGGUUGUGAAACCCCUCAGCUCAACUGAGGAACUGCAACCAAAACUAUAAUUCUUGAGUGCAGGAGAGG